rnacentral:rRNA from 1 species
AAUGAACGUUGGCGGCGUGGAUUAGGCAUGCAAGUCGAGCGGGUGCAGUAAUACAUCAGCGGCGAAAGGGAGAGUAACGCGUAGUUACGUGCCCCGAGGUCCAGAAUAGCCACGGGAAACUGUGGGUAAUUCCAGAUAAUAUCUCCGGAUCAAAGGUGUGAUUCCGCCCGAGGAUGGGUCUGCGUCCUAUUAGCUAGUUGGUGAGGUAACGGCUCACCAAGGCGAUGAUGGGUAGCAGGUGUGAGAGCACGACCUGCGUCAUUGGGACUGAGACACUGCCCAGACACCUACGGGUGGCUGCAGUCGAGAAUUUUUGGCAAUGGGGGAAACCCUGACCAAGCGAUGCCGCGUGCGGGAUGAAGGCCUUCGGGUUGUAAACCGCUGUCAGUGGGGAGAAAAGGACGGAUGUACUCCGUUUUGAUCUAUCCGCAGAGGAAGUGUGGGCUAAGCUCGUGCCAGCAGCCGCUGUAACAC